rnacentral:rRNA from 1 species
CCUACGGGGGGCUGCAGUGGGGAAUAUUGGACAAUGGGGGGAACCCUGAUCCAGCCAUGCCGCGUGUGUGAAGAAGGCCCUCGGGUUGUAAAGCACUUUCAGUGAGGAAGAACGCCUGGUGGUUAAUACCCAUCAGGAAAGACAUCACUCACAGAAGAAGCACCGGCUAACUCCGUGCCAGCAGCCGCGGUAAUACGGAGGGUGCGAGCGUUAAUCGGAAUUACUGGGCGUAAAGCGCGCGUAGGUGGCUUGAUAAGCCGGUUGUGAAAGACCCGGGCUCAACCUGGGAACGGCAUCCGGAACUGUCAAGCUAGAGUGCAGGAGAGGAAGGUAGAAUUCCCGGUGUAGCGGUGAAAUGCGUAGAGAUCGGGAGGAAUACCAGUGGCGAAGGCGGCCUUCUGGACUGACACUGACACUGAGGUGCGAAAGCGUGGGUAGCAAACAGGAUUAGAUACCCUAGUAGUC